GACGAACGCUGGCGGCGUGCUUAACACAUGCAAGUCGAACGGAAAGGCCCUGCGUUUGUUGGGUUCUCGAGUGGCGAACGGGUGAGUAAAACGUGAGUAAACUGCCCUUGACUUUGUGGUAACUUCAGGAAACAGGGGCUAAUACCCGAUAGGAGCUCCUGCUGCAUGUUGUGGGUUGGAAAGUUUCGGCCGUUGGGGAUGGACUCGCGGCUUAUCAGCUUGUUGGUGGGGUAGUGGCUUACCAAGGCUUUGACGGGUAGCCGGCCUGAGAGGGUGACCGGCCACAUUGCGCCUGCGAUACGGAGCAGACUCCUACGGGAGGCAGCAGUGGGGAAUAUUGCAGAAUGGGCGGAAGCCAGAUGCAGCAACGCCGGGUGCGUGAUGACGGCUUUCGGGUGGUAAACCGCUGUCGCCUGUGCCGAAGCGUGAGUGACGGUAAUGGGUAAAGAAGCACCGGCUAACUACGUG
rnacentral:rRNA from 1 species